UACAGAGAGUGCAAGCGUUAAUCGGAAUUACUGGGCGUAAAGCGCACGUAGGUGGAUUAUUAAGUCAGAUGUGAAAGCCCCGGGCUUAACCUGGGAACUGCAUCUGAUACUGAUUAUCUUGAGUAUAGUAGAGGGAAGUGGAAUUUCCGGUGUAGCGGUGAAAUGCGUAGAUAUCGGAAGGAACACCAGUGGCGAAAGCGGCUUCCUGGACUAAUACUGACACUAAGGUGCGAAAGCGUGGGGAGCAAACAGG
rnacentral:rRNA from 1 species